UGGGGGAAAUUACUGGGGGCUAAAGCGCACGCAGGCGGUCUGUCAAGUCGGAUGUGAAAUCCCCGGGCUCAACCUGGGAACUGCAUUCGAAACUGGCAGGCUAGAGUCUUGUAGAGGGGGGUAGAAUUCCAGGUGUAGCGGUGAAAUGCGUAGAGAUCUGGAGGAAUACCGGUGGCGAAGGCGGCCCCCUGGACAAAGACUGACGCUCAGGUGCGAAAGCGUGGGGAGCAAACAGGAUUAGAUACCCUGGUAGUCCACGCCGUAAACGAUGUCGACUUGGAGGUUGUGCCCUUGAGGCGUGGCUUCCGGAGCUAACGCGUUAAGUCGACCGCCUGGGGAGUACGGCCGCAAGGUUAAAACUCAAAUGAAAAGACGGGGGCCCGCACAAGCGGUGGAGCAUGUGGUUUAAUUCGAUGCAACGCGAAGAACCUUACCUACUCUUGACAUCCAGAGAACUUACCAGAGAUGCUUUGGUGCCUUCGGGAACUCUGAGACAGGUGCUGCAUGGCUGUCGUCAGCUCGUGUUGUGAAAUGUUGGGUUAAGUCCCGCAACGAGCGCAACCCUUAUCCUUUGUUGCCAGCGGUCCGGCCGGGAACUCAAAGGAGACUGCCAGUGAUAAACUGGAGGAAGGUGGGGAUGACGUCAAGUCAUCAUGGCCCUUACGAGUAGGGCUACACACGUGCUACAAUGGCGCAUACAAAGAGAAGCGAACUCGCGAGAGCAAGCGGACCUCAUAAAGUGCGUCGUAGUCCGGAUUGGAGUCUGCAACUCGACUCCAUGAAGUCGGAAUCGCUAGUAAUCGUAGAUCAGAAUGCUACGGUGAAUACGUUCCCGGGCCUUGUACACACCGCCCGUCACACCAUGGGGAGUGGGUUGCAAAAGAAGUAGGUAGCUUAACCUUCGGGAGGGCGCUUACCACUUUGUGAUUCAUGACUGGGGUGAUCGAGGGGGGGAGGGCCCCCAAAAAAAAAAAAAAGGGGGAAGGACU
rnacentral:rRNA from 1 species